rnacentral:rRNA from 1 species
AGAGUUUGAUCCUGGCUCAGGAUGAACGCUAGCGGCAGGCCUAAUACAUGCAAGUCGGACGGGAUCUGUUUUAAAGCUUGCUUUAGAGCAGUGAGAGUGGCGCACGGGUGCGUAACGCGUGAGCAACCUACCCAUAUCAGGGGGAUAGCCCGAAGAAAUUCGGAUUAACACCGCAUAACACAGCAAUCUCGCAUGAGAUCACUGUUAAAUAUUUAUAGGAUAUGGAUGGGCUCGCGUGACAUUAGCUAGUUGGUAAGGUAACGGCUUACCAAGGCAACGAUGUCUAGGGGCUCUGAGAGGAGAAUCCCCCACACUGGUACUGAGACACGGACCAGACUCCUACGGGAGGCAGCAGUAAGGAAUAUUGGUCAAUGGACGGAAGUCUGAACCAGCUAUGCCGCGUGCAGGAUGACUGCCCUAUGGGUUGUAAACUGCUUUUGUCUGGGAAUAAACCUUGAUUCGUGAAUCAAGCUGAAUGUACCAGAAGAAUAAGGAUCGGCUAACUCCGUGCCAGCAGCCGCGGUAAUACGGAGGAUCCGAGCGUUAUCCGGAUUUAUUGGGUUUAAAGGGUGCGUAGGCGGCUUUAUAAGUCAGAGGUGAAAGACGGCAGCUCAACUGUCGCAGUGCCUUUGAUACUGUAUAGCUUGAAUAUCGUUGAAGAUGGCGGAAUGAGACAAGUAGCGGUGAAAUGCAUAGAUAUGUCUCAGAACUCCGAUUGCGAAGGCAGCUGUCUAAGCGACCAUUGACGCUGAUGCACGAAAGCGUGGGGAUCAAACAGGAUUAGAUACCCUGGUAGUCCACGCCCUAAA